CCGCGUGGUUCUUGAGGCACUCGCGGUACCUGACGGGCUUCUUGAAAUCGUCGUCGGCGAUCUGGGUGGCGGAAGAAGGGAUGAUAAUGUGGUUGUGGGAUGGCGGUGGAUGAUGAUGAUGGUGAUGGAUCAUGUGGCCAUGCCCACCAUAGGUGCUGUUCAGUGGGAGCGGCAUCUCAUCACCUUCUUCACUUGGAACCUCCAUUAGAUCUUUCCUCUUUUGUGCGUGUGUCACUUGUUUGGAGACCAAAAGGACCACCAGAUUAGGGUGCUAACACCAAUGAUUAAACCUUAAAAGUCAUGCCCUCACUUGUAAAUUUUCCUAUGCGCGCGCUAGCUGUCUUUUUUUUGGGGGGGUGUCAAGCAACGACACUAUAUAUAAAUAUGGGAAUAAAUCACUGAUUCUUAAUUCAAACUGAGUUUGAUUUCAAGAGGCAGAAAUUAAUUAAGGUUAACUUAUUGGGUUGUGGGAUUUAUGGACUGGGAGGAGAAACCAAGAACAAAAUACUAGAUAUUUGUUAGUAGGGAAUGACAGUGAAUCAACCUGCGUUUUUCUUUCUACACAUUGUAAACAUGUUUUCUUGAAUAAAGGGAAGUAAGGCAGAGAUUAGUUUUGUCUGAAAGAAUAGUGUUGAAGGGAAAAAUAAAUAAAGUCAUGUAGUAUAUAUAUGAGGUUCAAGUAANAAUGAUGUUCACGAGCCAGUUUUAUUAUUUCAAACUCCAAACGAAAUGAUGUUUGAAACUCAGUUAUGGUAUUUUAAGCUCUAAAUGAGACGAUGCACAAAAGACCUGUUAUGAUUUUUCAAGCUCCAUACAAGAUGAUGGUUAGAAGUUAGUUAUGAUCUCACAAGCUUCAGAUUGCAUAAUCUCACAAGUCAGCCCUGGUGUUUCUAACUCCUACUGAAAAUGAUGUUUAGAAGUGAGUUAUGAUAUUUAAAGCAUCAGGUAGUGUUGUUGAAACGACUGACGCAUUAAAUCAGAUAUUGUAUUUUAGGGUCCAGACGAGAUAAUGCUAAAAAAUUUGGUGUUCAAAAGUCAGAUAUCGUCUUCGAGUUCUUGAUGAUCAUCUGGUCUUACAGACUUCAGAUGAGAUGAUGUUUAGAUGACAAAUGAGAUCUUAAAUUAAUUCUUAUCCGUCAAUAUAGAAAAAUUGUACAAAAUUUAUACUCCCUCCGUCCGCAAUAUCGUUUUCACAUUUGCCAUUUCGAUCUGUCCGCGAUAUCGCGAAAUGGCAAAUGUGGAAACGAUAUCGCGGACGGACCGAAGUGUAUUUUUAUCAUUCUAGCAAAAAGUUAAUAUUUAAUUGACGAAUAUAGUUGAAAUUAGUACUACCUCCGUCCACCAAAAGUAUGACACUUUGGAGGGACAUACGUUUUAAGAAAAUUGGUGGUGAUUUUUCAAAAGCAGAGACUAAACAUCCGCCAAAUGGACAAAUGGUCCCACCAAAAUUGAAAUGAUAGUUGAGAUUGAAUUAAAAGUGAUUUUUUUUUGUAAAUAAAGAGUGUUUGUAGAGAUAAAAAAAAGUAAUACGGUCAUGCCUUAAAAUGAAAAGUGCCAUAAUUUUUGUGGACACUCAAAAUAACAAAAGUAUCGUACUUUUCGUGGUCGAAGCGAAUAUAAUAUAAACUUUAUUACAUCUAAUUAAAUUAAUUAAAAGAUAAUUAUAUUAUAUAAACCAAUAUAAAUAAUUUAAAUUAUAAUUUAAAGUCACGUCGAAUUUCUACAGGUUAUACUUCUACUAAAUAAGACACCAACAGUAAAAUAAAGGAUUUCAUGUGACAUGCAUCCCCAAACUUAAAACUAAUUGCGUCAAGAAGAGAAAACCAUAUCAUCAAAUUAGGAGGUGGAGAAUAACAAGCUUGACAUCCUUGAAAUAAAUCCAUUCCUCGCUAAAAUGGAUUUACAAUUGGUACCAAACUCCAACUACUAAAAACUUACUCAAACCCCAGUUUUAAUUUCUUCAACUACAUAAGAACACCAUUAUUGUCAAACACAUUAUAAAGCUACUCCUGAAACGCAGAUUCACGACAUAAAAGUCCAAAUCUAACAGAUCCCAAUAUAUUCCCCCACCCAAAAUAAAAAUGUAGGAACAGAAUAGAAUAGAAAUAAACAAAAGGGAAAAGGUAAUAACUUUCUGCAGCAAAAACAGUAGUAUUAAUUAAUUAAUUAGUCCCUAAACUCUGAUGUUGAGGGUCAGAUUGAAGAAGGGUCUUCUUUGCAAGAGUAUGCUUGUUGUUGUGCAUCCAUACCUUCAAAACUCUUCUCUUGACUCCAACUUCUUGGCAGAACUGCUGCACCACUCCUUCUUCCUGCUUCUGUAUUUUCCACCCAACUUUCUCUGCAAAGUUGAGCAUCUUCUCCUUCUGCUCCUGACUGAACUUGGUUCUGAACCUCUUCUUCACCAGCUGCGGCGCUCUGCCGCCGUCCUGCUCGUCGGACUCGGAGGGGCCGCCGCUGUUGUAGGAGUGCAUAAUCAUCUGGUGUGGCCUGUAGCCCUUGUGCUGGUGGUGGUGGUGGCCCAGGAAGAGCUUGCGGCCAAUCCUGGGGUAGCAGCCGUCGCAGGGGUCACCGUCGGCCUCCUUGCGGUGGAAGUUGCGGUGGCAGCCGCAGGCGGAGCAGGUAAGGGCGUCGAGGUCGGCGGUGGGCAUGAACUCGCCGCAGCCGUCGGUGGCGUUGCCGCCCAUCGCAGCCGCGUGGUUCUUGAGGCACUCGCGGUACCUGACGGGCUUCUUGAAAUCGUCGUCGGCGAUCUGGGUGGCGGAAGAAGGGAUGAUAAUGUGGUUGUGGGAUGGCGGUGGAUGAUGAUGAUGGUGAUGGAUCAUGUGGCCAUGCCCACCAUAGGUGCUGUUCAGUGGGAGCGGCAUCUCAUCACCUUCUUCACUUGGAACCUCCAUUAGAU
rnacentral:lncRNA from 1 species